rnacentral:lncRNA from 1 species
ACAGUGGAAGGUCAGAAUGGGGAAGGCACUACUGAAGUACUGAGCUCCGCCAACCCCAAGUGCUUGAAUCUGAGAAAGGCAAAGGCUGACCAAGGCACAGAGCAGAUGACUAAACUUUUCAAGACAUGCAGCUGGCACAUAUCUCUGUGGACGAAAUGAUCCGCUAAGUGCCUGUCUUGCUCUCUGUGAGUCUUUCCCUCACAGGAGUGCGUGCCAAUGCGGAUGGUUCACUUGUAUCUACUCUAGCCAUGCUUUGCUUUCGAUGAUGCAGGGAUGAAGAAAGGCUUGGUGACUCUGUGCCCCACUGCGUGGAGAAGACAGCAAAAUAAGGAGACGACGGGGAACUGGCUGGUUUGAAACUAAUAACAUCAAAAAUGUGCUUGGAGGGGGAAGAUUUUCAUUCUUUGUGAUGUCCAUAUAUGGAAUACUAUUAAUAGGGUGAAUGCAAUUCUGAGAAUUCCUAAGGCUGUGUUAGUUCUGUUAUAUAAUUCUCUCUCUCUCUCUCUCUCUCUCUCUCUCUCUCUCUCUCUCUCUCUCCUUUACCAGUACAUCUUAGCCUUCAUUGUUAUAGCUCCCUUUGUUCACAUAAAUGGGUUUGUUGAUCAUUCCUUUUACAAACUGCAGUACUCCACUAGCUGCCAUUUGGAGAGAAGGUAUUCUUGUUCACUCUAUCGUUGAUUAUAAAUUGAGCUAUGGAAACUUUGUUAUGAAGCCUCAAGAGACAAAGCAUGCCAGCUCUCCACCUCUUGCUGCACAGAGUUACACAGCCAAGAGGAGAGGGGAAGAGAGCCUUCACAACCUGGCCUGUACUCCUUCCUGGCUUCACCUCACUAGCUCCAUAAUUCCUCAAAGGCUAAAACUUUUUUUUAAGAUUUAAUUUAUUUUAUGUAUGUGAGUACACUGUAGCUGUCUUCAGACACACCAAAAGAGGGCAUCUGAUCCCAUUACAGAUGGUUGGGUGUCACCAUAUGGCUGCUGGGAAUUGAAAUCAGGACCUCUGGAAGAGCAAUAAGUGCUCUUAACCACUGAACCAUCUCUCCAAUUUACUAAAACUUUUUUAAAAAUUCACUCCAUUACCCUUCCUACAAAGGGGGUUGGAGGCAGGGGCUACUGUCUUGGAGUAUUUUAACGAUUCAGUGACAUGACCGAGAUUUUCAAAAGACCUCCCAAUUCAUGCUGUCCAACAGAAAUGUAAUGCAAGCCAUGUCUGUAAUUUUCAACUUGCAAGUAGCCACACUUUCAAAAGGCAGAGAAGAAGCAGGGGAAAUUAAUUAUAAUAACACAUUUUCUUUAAUCUGAUGUAUCCAAAAUAUUAUCAUUUCAAGACCUAGUCACCAAAUCUAUGUUAAUGGAAUAUUUUACAUUUAUUUUAUUUCCUACUAAGUCUCUAAAAGCCAAUGUGGAUUUUACACACUGAGACAGUGCACUUUCACAAGAAAUACUCACUUUAUAUUUAGCUUUGUCAAGACUUGCAGUUGAAAAAAAAUAGAUUCACAUACACAAGUUGUGCCAAAAGUACUUAAAUAUUUCCUAAAAUCUGAAUCAAGUAUAAGUGUUUUAAAUUUAAAAUAAUUAAGAUGAAAUAAACAUGGAAAG